UACAGAGACUGCAAGCGUUAUUCGGAUUCACUGGGCGUAAAGGGCGCGUAGGCGGCCUGAUAAGUAGGGGGUGAAAUCCUGUGGCUCAACUGCAGGGCUGCCUCCUAGACUGUCGGGCUUGAGCACGGUAGAGGCAGAUGGAAUUCCCGGUGUAGCGGUGGAAUGCGUAGAGAUCGGGAAGAACAUCGGUGGCGAAGGCGGUCUGCUGGGCCGUUGCUGACGCUGAGGCGCGACAGCGUGGGGGAGCAAACAGG
rnacentral:rRNA from 1 species